rnacentral:rRNA from 1 species
AAAUUGAAGAGUUUGAUCAUGGCUCAGAUUGAACGCUGGCGGCAGGCCUAACACAUGCAAGUCGAGCGGAAACGAGUUAUCAGAACCUUCGGGGGACGAUAACGGCGUCGAGCGGCGGACGGGUGAGUAAUGCCUAGGAAAUUGCCCUGAUGUGGGGGAUAACCAUUGGAAACGAUGGCUAAUACCGCAUGAUGCCUACGGGCCAAAGAGGGGGACCUUCGGGCCUCUCGCGUCAGGAUAUGCCUAGGUGGGAUUAGCUAGUUGGUGAGGUAAGGGCUCACCAAGGCGACGAUCCCUAGCUGGUCUGAGAGGAUGAUCAGCCACACUGGAACUGAGACACGGUCCAGACUCCUACGGGAGGCAGCAGUGGGGAAUAUUGCACAAUGGGCGCAAGCCUGAUGCAGCCAUGCCGCGUGUGUGAAGAAGGCCUUCGGGUUGUAAAGCACUUUCAGUCGUGAGGAAGGUGGUAGUGUUAAUAGCACUAUCAUUUGACGUUAGCGACAGAAGAAGCACCGGCUAACUCCGUGCCAGCAGCCGCGGUAAUACGGAGGGUGCGAGCGUUAAUCGGAAUUACUGGGCGUAAAGCGCAUGCAGGUGGUUUGUUAAGUCAGAUGUGAAAGCCCGGGCUCAACCUCGGAAUAGCAUUUGAAACUGGCAGACUAGAGUACUGUAGAGGGGGGUAGAAUUUCAGGUGUAGCGGUGAAAUGCGUAGAGAUCUGAAGGAAUACCGGUGGCGAAGGCGGCCCCCUGGACAGAUACUGACACUCAGAUGCGAAAGCGUGGGGAGCAAACAGGAUUAGAUACCCUGGUAGUCCACGCCGUAAACGAUGUCUACUUGGAGGUUGUGGCCUUGAGCCGUGGCUUUCGGAGCUAACGCGUUAAGUAGACCGCCUGGGGAGUACGGUCGCAAGAUUAAAACUCAAAUGAAUUGACGGGGGCCCGCACAAGCGGUGGAGCAUGUGGUUUAAUUCGAUGCAACGCGAAGAACCUUACCUACUCUUGACAUCCAGAGAACUUUCCAGAGAUGGAUUGGUGCCUUCGGGAACUCUGAGACAGGUGCUGCAUGGCUGUCGUCAGCUCGUGUUGUGAAAUGUUGGGUUAAGUCCCGCAACGAGCGCAACCCUUAUCCUUGUUUGCCAGCGAGUAAUGUCGGGAACUCCAGGGAGACUGCCGGUGAUAAACCGGAGGAAGGUGGGGACGACGUCAAGUCAUCAUGGCCCUUACGAGUAGGGCUACACACGUGCUACAAUGGCGCAUACAGAGGGCGGCCAACUUGCGAAAGUGAGCGAAUCCCAAAAAGUGCGUCGUAGUCCGGAUUGGAGUCUGCAACUCGACUCCAUGAAGUCGGAAUCGCUAGUAAUCGUGGAUCAGAAUGCCACGGUGAAUACGUUCCGGGCCUUGUACACACCGCCCGUCACACCAUGGGAGUGGGCUGCAAAAGAAGUAGGUAGUUUAACCUUCGGGGGGACGCUUACCACUUUGUGGUUCAUGACUGGGGUGAAGUCGUAACAAGGUAGCGCUAGGGGAACCUGGCGCUGGAUCACCUCCUUA